GGGGGGACCUGCGGAAGGAUCAUUA
rnacentral:rRNA from 1 species